rnacentral:rRNA from 1 species
AGUGAACGCUGGCGGUAGGCCUAACACAUGCAAGUCGAACGGCAGCACAGUAAGAGCUUGCUCUUACGGGUGGCGAGUGGCGGACGGGUGAGGAAUACAUCGGAAUCUACUUUUUCGUGGGGGAUAACGUAGGGAAACUUACGCUAAUACCGCAUACGACCUACGGGUGAAAGCAGGGGAUCUUCGGACCUUGCGCGAUUGAAUGAGCCGAUGUCGGAUUAGCUAGUUGGCGGGGUAAAGGCCCACCAAGGCGACGAUCCGUAGCUGGUCUGAGAGGAUGAUCAUACACACUUGAACUGAGACACGGUCCAGACUCCUACGGGAGUCAGCAGUGGGGAAUAUUGGACAAUGGGCGCAAGCCUGAUCCAGCGAUACCGCGUGGGUGAAGAAGGCCUUCUGGUUGUAAAGCCCUUUUGUUGGGAAAGAAAAGCAGCAGGUUAAUACCCCGCUGUUCUGACGGUACCCAAAGAAUAAGCAACGGCUAACUUCAUG